rnacentral:rRNA from 1 species
CCUGAUUAGUGGCGCACGGGUGAGUAAUAUAUAGAUAACGUGCCUCUUAGUCUGGGAUAGCCAUUGGAAACGAUGAUUAAUACCGGAUACUCCUUCUGAUUAUAAUUUCAGUCGGGAAAGUUUUUCGCUAAGAGAUCGGUCUAUAUCCCAUCAGCUUGUUGGUAGUGUAAGAGACUACCAAGGCUAUGACGGGUAGCGGGUUUGAGAGGAUGAUCCGCCACACUGGUACUGAGACACGGACCAGACUCC